rnacentral:rRNA from 1 species
UACGUAGGCAGCAAGCGUUGUUCGGAGUUACUGGGCGUAAAGGGUGCGUAGGCGGCUUUUUAAGUUUGGUGUGGAAUCUCCCGGCUCAACUGGGAGGGUGCGCCGAAUACUGAGAGGCUAGAGUGUGGGAGAGGAAAGUGGAAUUCCUGGUGUAGCGGUGAAAUGCGUAGAUAUCAGGAGGAACACCGGUGGUGUAAACGGCUUUCUGGACCAUAACUGACGCUGAGGCACGAAAGCGUGGGUAGCAAACAGG